UACAGGGGGUGCAAACGUUGCUCGGAAUCAUUGGGCGUAAAGCGCACGUAGGCGGUCUGUUAUGUCGAAUGUGAAAGCCCAGGGCUCAACCUUGGAAGUGCAUCCGAAACUGCGAAACUUGAAUCCUGGAGAGGGUGGUGGAAUUCCCAGUGUAGAGGUGAAAUUCGUAGAUAUUGGGAGGAACACCGGUGGCGAAGGCGACCACCUGGACAGAGAUUGACGCUGAGGCGCGAGAGCGUGGGGAGCAAACAGG
rnacentral:rRNA from 1 species